CUCCUCCUGACCAAUCCUGCUGCGGGGUGGUGUUCAUGCUGAUUGGCUGGGCCUGAUUCCCUGCCCUCUCCUGAUUCAAUCACCGUGCCCGGGAGGGGGUCUGGCGCACUGGUUGGCAACUUCCUGAAUCACGUGUCCCACCCAAAUCGCUCCACUUGGAAAGGCAGGACAUGACUUCCCAGAAAGCAGAUGAGGCCAUGGGACCAGAAGGUGCCCCCAGGAAACGGAUGCAGGGAGGCCGGGACCCCUGCUCACAGCCCGAGGGAGCUUACCCUCUGCUCUGCUCCUAGACCCCGUGCCGGGUGCUGGCCGUGCUCCUGCACUACUUCUUCCUGAGCGCCUUUGCGUGGAUGCUGGUGGAAGGGCUGCAUCUCUACAGCAUGGUGACCAAGGUCUUCGGCUCGGAGGACAGCAAGCGCGGCUACUACUGUGGGAUGGGCUGGGGUAGGUGGGGAUAAGAUGGGGUAGAGCAGGUGUGCCUUCAUCUUCAGGUUCUUCUUGGCACCCCUCUGUGCCCAGAAUGGCAGGAGGGGAAGGAGAGCCCCACUGGACAAUUGAUGGCAAAGACGCGUUGUUUCACUUUGUUCCUGUGCAUCCUGAGGUGUCCUGGUGAGUACGUGAGGCCUCCCUUCCUGUGGGAAGGUUGGGCUGCGUAACUGAUACCUGGUGUUCCGGCGCUUGCUGUACGGCAUCUACCAGACGCUGGAGACCUCCUGCUUGUUUUUGACUUUCUCCAAAUAGUUUUAAUUUUCACGGUCCUCAUUAUGCGAGAAGAUAACGGGUUUGUUUUAUGCUUUGAGCUGCAAAUACAAUUUCUCUGAUGAGGAACUGGAGGGAUGAAGAACAUCUCCUGCCUGGAGAUCACAUGAUAACUCACCCCGCAGACCCUGGGGGAAAGGCCUUGGAGUUGAUGCGUGGAAAGAACCAACACUGCUGCACCAGCUCUGGGCUCUAUCCCAGAACGUCCUGUGUCCUGUGGCAGGGGACCCACAGCAAGGUCCUAGGAGACAGUCAGGGGCCAAGAGAGGAAGUCUGCCCCACGUGGAUUCCAGGACGGAGGUCAUCUUGGCUUCGCCCCCGACAUUAUCAGUUGGAUUCCCGGAAGACAGAUGACAAGCUGGAGGAAGGAGAUAUGAAGAAAUGAAAGGCACGCUCUGACUACCCUUUAAUAACCCACAGGCAUGUGUGAAAGGCAAGAUUGUAGGGAAUCCGAAAAUAAAUUUUAAUCUAAAAGAAC